CGGGCAGAGGUGCAGAUGGGAGCACGCCUGCUUUGGGAGCAGGAGGCAGUGAUUUUGUUUCCGGCUCCGCCUCGGGCGUGUUCGACCCCGCGGUGCCCGA
rnacentral:tRNA from 1 species